rnacentral:lncRNA from 1 species
GGGGUAGUGUGUGUGUUACCUGUAAGGACUAGGUGUAGGGGUAGUGUGUGUGUUACCUGUAAGGACUAGACGUAGGGGUAGUGUGUGUGUGUUACCUGUAAGGACUAGAUGUAGGGGUAGUGUGUGUGUGUUACCUGUAAGGACUAGAUGUAGGGGUAGUGUGUGUGUGUGUUACCUGUAAGGACUAGACGUAGGGGUAGUGUGUGUGUGUGUGUUACCUGUAAGGACUAGACGUAGGGGGGGUAGUGUGUGUGUGUUACCUGUAAGGGCUAGAUGUAGGGGUAGUGUGUGUGUUACCUGUAAGGACUAGAUGUAGGGGUAGUGUGUGUGUUACCUGUAAGGACUAGAUGUAGGGGUAGUGUGUGUGUUACCUGUAAGGACUAGACGUAGGGGUAGUGUGUGUGUGUUACCUGUAAGGACUAGACGUAGGGGUAGUGUGUGUGUGUUACCUGUAAGGACUAGACGUAGGGGUAGUGUGUGUGUGUUACCUGUAAGGACUAGAUGUAGGGGUAGUGUGUGUGUUACCUGUAAGGACUAGACGUAGGGGUAGUGUGUGUGUGUUACCUG